AAGCGGAGGAGCAUGUGGUUUAAUUCGAUGAUACGCGAGGAACCUUACCUGGGCUCGAACGUAAGAUGACUGUAGGUGAAAGCUUACAUCUCUUCGGAGCAUUUUACGAGGUGCUGCAUGGUUGUCGUCAGCUCGUGCCGUGAGGUGUCGGGUUAAGUCCCAUAACGAGCGCAACCCUACCUUUAGUUGCCAUCAGGUAAUGCUGGGGACUCUAAAGGAACUGCCUACGCAAGUAGUGAGGAAGGCGGGGAUGACGUCAAAUCAGCACGGCCCUUACGUCCAGGGCUACACACGUGCUACAAUGGCCGAUACAGAGGGCAGCUACCUGGUGACAGGAUGCAAAUCUCCAAAGUCGGUCUCAGUUCGGAUCGGAGUCUGCAACCCGACUCCGUGAAGUUGGAUUCGCUAGUAAUCGCGCAUCAGCCAUGGCGCGGUGAAUACGUUCCCGGGCCUU
rnacentral:rRNA from 1 species